GAUGAACGCUGGCGGCGUGCCUAAUACAUGCAAGUCGAGCGAGCAGACGAGGAGCUUGCUCCUCUGACGUUAGCGGCGGACGGGUGAGUAACACGUGGAUAACCUACCUAUAAGACUGGGAUAACUUCGGGAAACCGGGGCUAAUACCGGAUAAUAUAUUGAACCGCAUGGUUCAAUAGUGAAAGACGGUUUUGCUGUCACUUAUAGAUGGAUCCGCGCCGCAUUAGCUAGUUGGUAAGGUAACGGCUUACCAAGGCAACGAUGCGUAGCCGACCUGAGAGGGUGAUCGGACACACUGGAACUGAGACACGGUCCAGACUCCUACGGGAGGCAGCAGUAGGGAAUCGUCCGCAAUGGGCGAAAGCUUGACGGAGCAACGCCGCGUGAGUGAUGAAGGUCUUCGGAUCGUAAAACUCUGUUAUUAGGGAAGAACAAAUGUGCAAGUAACUAUGCACGUCUUGACGGUACCUAAUCAGAAAGCUACGGCUAACUACGUG
rnacentral:rRNA from 1 species